rnacentral:rRNA from 1 species
AUUGAACGCUGGCGGCAUGCUUUACACAUGCAAGUCGAACGGCAGCGCGGGCUUCGGCCUGGCGGCGAGUGGCGAACGGGUGAGUAAUGCAUCGGAACGUGCCCAGUAGUGGGGGAUAGCCCGGCGAAAGCCGGAUUAAUACCGCAUACGACCUGAGGGUGAAAGCGGGGGACCGAAAGGCCUCGCGCUAUUGGAGCGGCCGAUGUCGGAUUAGCUAGGUGGUGGGGGAAAGGCUUACCAAGGCGACGAUCCGUAGCUGGUCUGAGAGGACGACCAGCCACACUGGGACUGAGACACGGCCCAGACUCCUACGGGAGGCAGCAGUGGGGAAUUUUGGACAAUGGGGGCAACCCUGAUCCAGCCAUGCCGCGUGCGGGAAGAAGGCCUUCGGGUUGUAAACCGCUUUUGUUCGGGAAGAAAUCCUCUGGGCUAAUACCCCGGGGGGAUGACGGUACCGGAAGAAUAAGCACCGGCUAACUACGUG